AGUUUUAUUCUUGCUUGUACGUUCAUUGUUUGGUUGUUCUAUAUGUAAGUUUUUGCGUGAUUGUUGGCUGGAUUCUAGAUGGGUUGGGGCCAGGAGUAGGUUGUUAUUCUCAUUAGCUGUUAUUAUUGUUCAAGUAUUCUUGUAGUUAGCAAUUCAUUUUAGUUUCGGUUAAAUUUUGUGCCAGCAGCCGCGGUUAUACUUUGGAGGCGGUUGAACGUGUUCGGUUUGGCAGUUUUAUGUUUUAAUUUUUGGCUUAAUUUGGUUGUGGGUUGUUAGGUGAAAUUUUUAUCUUUGUUGUUGGUCUAUUUUUUGUUUGGAGGCUGUGAAAUUCUUUAUGUAAACUAGGAUUAGAUACCCUAUUAUUUUGAAUGUUAAUCUUGUUUGCCUGAGUAGUAUUAGUUAUGUUCUUGAAACUUAAAGAAUUUGGCGGUAUCUUAUUCCGUUCAGAGGAAUCUGUCUCGUUAUCGAUAGUCCGCGUUGGACCUUACUUAGUUGCUAUGGUUUGUAUACCGCCGUUUAUUGAUUAUCUUUUUAGUGUUUUUUGAAUUUUCUGGUUUCUUGGUUUAGAUUUAUUUCAGGUCAAGGUGCAGCUUGUUUCUAAGUGUUAUGAUGGAUUACAUUGUUAUUGGUUAUCGGAUUGUUGGAUUAGAUUUCUGAUAUGAAGUUGGAUUUGAUUGUAAUGUUUUGUAGAUUGUUUUCGUGAUGAUGGCUCUAAGAUAUGCACACAUCGCCCGUCGCUCUCGUUUAGUUUUUAUUUAAUGAGAUAAGUCGUAACAAAGUGGCUGUACCGGAAGGUGCGGCUGGAGUGA
rnacentral:ncRNA from 1 species